UACAGAGACUGCAAGCGUUAUUCGGAUUCACUGGGCGUAAAGGGUGCGCAGGCGGCCGUAUGUGUGAGGCGUGAAAGCCCGGGGCUUAACCCCGGAAUUGCACCUCAAACUAUACGGCUAGAGCAUUGGAGAGGGUAGCAGAAUUCAUGGUGUAGCAGUGAAAUGCGUAGAUAUCAUGAGGAAUACCAGAGGCGAAGGCGGCUACCUGGACAAUUGCUGACGCUCAGGCACGAAAGCUAGGGGAGCAAACAGG
rnacentral:rRNA from 1 species